UGCCUGUUCGAGCGUCAUUAUAACCCUCAAGCCUAGCUUGGUGUUGGAGCAUGCCUCUGGGCCGCUCUUAAAAUCAGUGGCGGUGCCAUCUGGCUCUAAGCGUAGUAAAUCUCUCGCUAUAGUGUCCGGUGGUUACUUGCCAAAACCCCCAAUUUUCUAUGGUUGACCUCGGAUCAGGUAGGGAUACCCGCUGAACUUAA
rnacentral:misc_RNA from 1 species